GCGGUCGUGGCGGAAUUGGCAGACGCGCUAGAUUCAGGUUCUAGUGAGGGUAACUUCAUGGAGGUUCAAGUCCUCUCGACCGCACCA
rnacentral:tRNA from 1 species